rnacentral:rRNA from 1 species
AACGUAGGUCACAAGCGUUGUUCGGAAUUACUGGGUGUAAAGGGAGCGCAGGCGGGAAGACAAGUUGGAAGUGAAAUCCAUGGGCUCAACCCAUGAACUGCUUUCAAAACUGUUUUUCUUGAGUAGUGCAGAGGUAGGCGGAAUUCCCGGUGUAGCGGUGGAAUGCGUAGAUAUCGGGAGGAACACCAGUGGCGAAGGCGGCCUACUGGGCACCAACUGACGCUGAGGCUCGAAAGUGUGGGUAGCAAACAGG